UCGCAGUCGGACGUGUUUUUUUUCUUCUCUCUUAAACUUUGUGAUUUACAUACAAUUUCAUCUCUAUAUUACUUAAAAGCUCGUUCUGUCAUAAGACUACGGGAGUCACAGACAACACAUUUCAUUUUAUGGCAGAAGCUAAUCGUUCAGAUGGAACCGAACUUCCAGCUGCAUUUCCUUUCUCUCGCAACCUUGGGCUGCAGAGUCUCGCAGUUCUAUGCUCCUUAUGUGCAGGUCUAUAAAACUUUCCGGAAAACACUAAGCUAACGGUCACAUCAGAGUCUCCGCUCACAUUUUUAGUGGCUUCUUUAAAAGGUUGGAGAACAUGGCACAAAUCGCGACAAAUAUUCAGCUCCUCCACUGAGAGCAUUUCUAGUGAGUUACGGAGGGUUCGUCUACUCAAAAUUACAAAUGCAACUUCGUCAGCUAGCGCAACGAACGAGUUUAGCAUAUCCAAGCACGAGUUCCAUCGAGUAUUCACCUUUUGAAUCAAUACACCUGGCCCUCGCUUAACUCGGACUCUUUUAGCACGAACUCGGAUACAAAUUUGCUCCCA